UCCGAGUUGACCCCGGCAGUCUCCUGAGAGUGCCCGGCAUUACCCGGUAGCAACACAGGACAAGGGUUGCGCUCGUUGCGGGACUUAACCCAACACCUCACGGCACGAGCUGACGACAGCCAUGCAGCACCUGAGCCGGCAGUCCCCGAAGGGAAGAUCCUAUUUCUAGGACGGUCCGCCGUUGUCUAGCCCAGGUAAGGUUCUUCGCGUUGCAUCGAAUUAAACAACACGCUCCACCGCUUGUGCGGGUCCCCGUCAAUUCCUUUGAGUUUUAACCUUGCGGCCGUAGUUCCCAGGCGGGCAACUUAAAGCGUUAGCUGCGGCACGGAGGGGGUCGAUACCCCCCACACCUAGUUGCCACCGUUUAGGGCGUGGACUAC
rnacentral:misc_RNA from 1 species